UUUUGACCCAGUUCAUGUAGUCAUGAAACACUAUCUAGAAUACUUCUGGGGUUUGAUAAAAAACAAAAGAAACUGGAAGUGUAAGAAUAAACUAAAUCUCUUCCUC